UCUCUCUCUCUCUCUCUCUCUCUCUCUCUCUCUCUCUCUCUCUCUCUCUCUCUCUCUCUCUCUCUCUCGCAUAGAUGACGAAGGCGAGCUCCGGUGCAUCCAUGCCCGGAGACGACGAAGAAACUCUAAUCGGAUGGAGGAAAAAGCUCCGGUGAAAUCGAGAUCUAUGUGCGUACACUAUCGUCUGCUUCUCAAUUCUUCAGAUCUCACACAGGUAACUCAUUUUUUUCUCUCAUCCUUUGUUGCUCUGAACGCAUUCGAAUUUGUGUUGACAGAUCGUGAUUUGAUCCGAAUUGCAGCAAAAUCGAAUGGAGUUAAAGAUUGCGAGAGUUCAAAUUGCGACGAGUCUCCUGACCUUAAGAUGCAGCAACAGCCUGACGACGGAGUUGAGGUUAAGGCGCCGCCGCCGCCGACCAGCAUCCACCGCUAAUUCAUCAAAGGAGGUUAAGCACAACACUUGAGAAACUCCGUUGAUGGAGCGACGUCUUUUCUCUCAUCGUCAACGGCCAGAUCUGAUCUCCAAUCUCAUUGUUCUUGUUUGAUUUUCCAAUCGUCGAAUUUGUUUACGCUAUUUAGAGCUCUUGGAUUUCAUAGUCUAUUAUCAAGUGUUUGUGCUUGUUUUGGUGUAUGAAAAGGUAAUGAUGAAAUGAAACCACACAGAUUUUCUUUUUUUCUUUUUUUUUGUUAAUCCGUGUAUCUAUAUAAUUAUGAUGAAUUAUUUGGUUAGUGUUAGUAAUGGUGGUGUGGAUGUUUUAGAUGUUCAUAGUUGCAGCAACUUGAUUUUCCAGAUUUUUGGGUUAGUAGCAGCAUUUAACGUAGUAUUGGUGAAAGUAGCUCUUGGGAUUGGAAGAGUAGGUUUUGGUGUUUGGUAGUAGCUUUUGUUGUGUUUGAUAGUAGUUUUUGUUGUUACUAGUAGUAGUUUUUCUUGCCUGCAGUAGUAACUAUUGGUUUGGGUAGUAGUAGCUAUUGGUUCAGGUAGCAGUAGCUUUAUUUGUUCGCGGUAGUAGCUUUAUUUGUCGUCGUAGCUUUAUUUACCGGUGGCAGUAGUUUUAUUUGUCGGUGGUAAUAGCUUUAUUUUGUGAUGGCAGUAGGUUUUGUUGUUGGUAGUAGUAGCUUUAGUUAUCGGCAGUAGUAGCUUUUAGUUAGUAGUUUUUGUUGUUGGUUGUAACUUUUCUUUCUGAUGGUAGUAGCUUUUGUCGCUAACAAUAGUAGCUUUUCUUUCCGGUGGUAGUAGCUUUUAUUUCCUGUGGUGGUUGUAGUAGCUUUUGUUGCCGGAAGUAGUAGCUUUUGUUGUCAGAAAUAAUAGCUUUUAUUGCCGGCAGUAGUAGCUUUAAUUACUAGCGGUAGUAGUUUUUGUUUAUAGCAUCAGUAGCUUUUGUUGCCAGAGGUAGUAGUUUUUGUUGCCGAAAGUAGUAGCUUUUGUUACCGGAA
rnacentral:lncRNA from 1 species